GUGCAGAGAGAAGGGAGGAGCAAAAACUAAUAGCUAGGAGUGCAUCCACAGUGACCACAAAGAAAACAUACGCUUUAUUGUACUUUAGUGGGUUUUUUAUUUUGAUUCAAUAACAAUUUAUACUACAGUCGAAUUUUACACAUGAAUUAAGAAAGGGAAUGGAUUUUAUUUAGUGGUCUCACAGUGAAAGGGGCUGAACACAUAUGCACUUAAAUGUGCAUUUGAAAUCCACAGUUCAGUUCAAGCUGAACUGUGAACUUCAGCUUCACCGUUAUGCACAAAUUCAUGUUGCCUUACUGCAGUAAAUUCCUUUCAAGUACAGAUAAAUGCUACAUAUUAGAAUAGUAACACACGGUACUCUGGGGCCAGACACAAGAUGACAGAAAACAGUUUUGAUGGGGUUACAAAAGUAAAAUUAAGAGAAAUGUCAAGAUUUAGACAAA